AAAUAAAGUCACCAACAAAUAUAUAAAUGAAAAGACAUUUAUUUCAGGGUCAUCCAAAUGGCCAUUAUUUGACUAGAUACAGGUCUAUUAACGCUUAUUAACUGCAUUUUAUCCUGAUUAAUGCAAAGCACGCAGCAGUUGAUGUUUAACCCCUUAAGGACACAUGACAUGUGUGACAUGUCAUGAUUCCCUUUUAUUCCAGAAGUUUGGUCCUUAAGGGGUUAACAGAACCUCUCACAGAUCUAUCUCUGUUAGUACUGGACUAGUUAGCAGCAAUUAUUUUCUCUAAAUUGCUGCCAUUCUUAGAUGUAAUACAAUUGCUGAACAGAGAACAGACUAGCAUCUGCUAUGAAACAAACUAAGCACCACAACGACUUCAGUUUAUUAUAGUGGUCAUGUUCCCAGUAAGAAAACAAAAAACUUACCUUUGCUAUCCUUGACAUUUCUGUAGUCUCCACCCCUCACAGGUGUUAUCUGAACAAGUAUAGCAUCCCAUCAGUGCCGGACUGGCCCACCGGGAUACCGGGAAAUUUCCGGGUGGGCCGUCGGCACCUGCGGCCGCAGAGGGAGCUGGCUGUUCUGUCUCUGCUCCCCCUCCCCAGCG